GUGCUUACUUCAGCAGCACACAUACUAAAAUUGGAACAAUACAGAGAAGAUGAUCAUGGCCCCGCACAAGGAUGACAAACAAAUUCAUGAAGCAUUCCACAUAUUU